UACGUAGGGGGCAAGCGUUGUCCGGAAUUAUUGGGCGUAAAGAGCUCGUAGGCGGUUUGUCGCGUCUGCUGUGAAAUCCCGAGGCUCAACCUCGGGCCUGCAGUGGGUACGGGCAGACUAGAGUGCGGUAGGGGAGAUUGGAAUUCCUGGUGUAGCGGUGGAAUGCGCAGAUAUCAGGAAGAACACCAAUGGCGAAGGCAGCUCUCUGGGACGGUACUGACACUGAGACGCGAAAGCGUGGGGAGCGAACAGG
rnacentral:rRNA from 1 species